rnacentral:tRNA from 1 species
ACUUAAAUAGCUUAAAUUUAGAGCAUAACGUUGAAGGUGUUAGGGUAGUAUGUUUACUUUUGAGUA